CUGGUAAAAAGGUGAAAACCUUUUUUACCCCCAAACUCUGUGCAAUGGAGCACACGGCUUAUGCAUCGAUGAAGCCCGCGGCAAAAAGCGAUAUGUAAUGAGAUUCGUUAGCCUCGCGAUUCAUCAAAUUGGUGAACACAUACUGGACCUCUUCGGAGGUACUUGCGUUAGAGUGCUAGUUUUCUAUCAAUUGAUCCCGGUAAAAGGUGUUUGAGUCGUAGAUUCUUACGCCCUAGCUGGUGUAGCCGGAUUCUCUUUGAGAAACCGGAUUGUUCUUGGUAAACAUGUUAGUGUGUUGGUUGGUAUCUAUAGCCUUUCGGGGUGCAGAGAUCAAUCACAUUACUAGCUGUCCCAGGUCAAUCUUUUAUAUACUAAACUGGCCUCUAAUGUGAGAGGGUACCCCCUGGAUUUAAGCAUAUGAACCUGCGUAGGGAUCAUUU
rnacentral:misc_RNA from 1 species